rnacentral:lncRNA from 1 species
GAUGGUUGACGCUUCCUCAUGAUUAAAAUCAAUAUACGCAUUCCAGGUUGGAACAGAAGAAAUGCUGUAUUCCUCUGAGGACAUCACUUCUGAAGAUGUAGUACCUGGAGCUGUGCAGCUGGUUUGUAACUAUAAGUUGAUGAACAGAGAUGUUGGGCCUGGCGCCAUGGAGCUGUUGAAGACACACCAAAAAAACAGUCUAUCUUUUGACUUCUAUUUUUUCGUGUGGAACAAAACUAUUGUUAAAAUGUUAUAGUUGAAUGUAGUUGAAUGCUUUGUUACUUGCAGCUAAAUACAUUCCUAACAAGUAAAGGAGAGAUUAUAACUAUAAUCUUAUUAUAACUGUCUAUAUUAGCUACUAACUGAAUAUAUUAUAUUUGGGAAAUAAUAAUUAUGGUAAUCUAAAUUAUUAACCCAGUUUUCUCCAAAAUAAUCUAAAUUGGUUUAAUAUGGGUAACUGAAAACAUACAAUAUGGUAAAUGAUGAAAUAAAUAAAUGUCAAAUAGGUGAGUGUGACAGAGAAUUAUUGAAAAUGUACUGUAUUUUAUUUUAGAAAUAAAAUCUGCUGUGUGUAUUCACUUUUGUGGUUAUUUCUCCCCCUUUUACCAUGGCUUCCCAUACCUAUAAAAAAUGAGUUCACACUAAUUAUCUGCAAAUGGGACUCAUCGCUACAGUGAAAUCGAGUCUCUCCUCGAUCCUAAUCCAAAUUUAACUGUAACCUAAAUGAUACCUGACAGAAAUAUGCAGAGGUCACAGAGUCCCUGCCUGUCAGAGACAUUAAUCAAACAAAUGUCAUUUGUGCAGUUCAGUAGCUUUAUAUAAGAAAAUUUAACUUAAACCUUAUAAAACAGUAAGAUUAAAUGAAAAUACAUACAAUGAAUUUAGAAUAAAAAGGCAAAACUCUAG